UACGAGGGGGGCGAGCGUUGUUCGGAAUUAUUGGGCGUAAAGGGUGCGUAGGCGGUUCCGCAAGUCCUGUGUGAAAUCUUCGGGCUCAACUCGAAGUCUGCACGGGAAACUGCGGGGCUUGAGUGUGGGAGAGGUGAGUGGAAUUCCCGGUGUAGUGGUGAAAUGCGUAGAUAUCGGGAGGAACACCUGUGGCGAAAGCGGCUCACUGGACCAUAACUGACGCUGAUGCACGAAAGCUGGGGGGAGCAAACAGG
rnacentral:rRNA from 1 species